AGGUGCGGCGCAUCGGCGACGGCGUCGUCGCUGGGUUUGCCGGCUCCGCGGCAGACGGACUGAGCCUGCUGGAGCGGCUGGAGAUGAAGCUGGAGGAACACCCUGGUGUGUGCGC
rnacentral:rRNA from 1 species